rnacentral:misc_RNA from 1 species
GUCAGAAGUGAGACAACAGACAGUUACCGCGUGUCUCGCCAACCUCUGGCUGCCCUCCAUUCAUACGUAACCUUCUUUUCUUUUCUAGCAUUCUCCUUUUCCUUUCUCCUAUUUUCCAUUCAUCAUCGUCAAACUAAUAUUAUCCCUUCACUUCCUUCAGUUUCUCUCUUUCUCCUUCCAACUAAUUUCAGGUAUUCUUUCCUCUUAUCUCCCUUCAAUUUUCUGAUUAAUUUCUCUCUCUGCUUUUGCCUACUUCUCAAAUUCACUCUCUGGUUCUAUACUUCUAAAAGUAUUGCUUAACUAUGUUAACUUUGGAAUAGAGAGUACUUCAUUUCUUUUUUUGAAAAUUUAAAUACCCCUUCAAGUAUAGUCCGCAUAAAGUUUCUGCUUUGAACAAAAUUUUGCGUGUUGGACCACUGUGACAUGGAGCUGCCGGUUCAAAUUAUGAGAUUAGCCUUUUUGCUUAGAGCGUGCACUGUGCCUUUCUUUUGAGCUAUCGUUUCCCUUUACUUUUUUUUUUCUUUUUCUGCGUUAGGUGAACAUGGUUUCAUUUUUGUCAAUCAAGUAAUAUUUCAAGUGAUAGAAUGGAGGCAUUUUGAUGAGAUAGUAAUAAAAAUUCUGCUUGUCAAGCAUUGCACAUGUGCUAUAAUUCUUUGUUUUUGGGGCAACGAAAUGGUUGAAAUUUAGGAAUUUUCAAGCCUCAUUUUACUAAGGGAAAUCUUAUCUGGUAGUGACUUUUCUUGGAGCUAUUAAUAUUUGUUCAUUGGCGAAACAAAUUGUUCUAGCAUAGGAUGAGAUGAUACAAAUAUUCCGGCACAUUGCUGUUGUGAUAAUGAGAGAAAUAUUACGGCAUUGCGUGUGGAAUAGAAUUGAUUGGAGAAAACUACUGUUGGCUAGUGCCAUAACCACAGCGGUUGGAAUUUUGGGUCCAAGUUAUGUAGUUCCUUAUCCAAUGAACACGUGGCUCCUUUCUUCGUCUAUAAUAGUUUCAUCACCCAUAUCCUUGAAUGGUAGUUUGCACUCUAGAGAGAGUGUAACCGAGGCAAAAGUUGAACAAUUUCAUCUUGUUCCAACUGCUCCUAUUCUUUCAGUGAAUUCGACAGUGAUACCAUCCAAGGCAGCUAGAGUAAAAGUCUCUGGAAAGAGAAAUUCUGUAGCCAGAAGGAGAAGAAAGAAGAGUAAGGUAAAUAAUGAUGCAAAGGUUGUACCUCCUGUGCCACCUCGCAUUCCAGCACCGCGUCAGUUGCAGAGAUACAUCUGGUCCUUGUCUCCAAAUGAUGCCCUCUUGUAUGCUAAAAAAGAGAUUGAGCAUGCCCCAGUGGUUAGUGAUGAUCCUUAUCUGUAUGCCCCUAUUUUUCGGAAUAUUUCAGUUUUCAAAAGGAGCUAUGAGUUAAUGGAGCUGAUACUUAAAGUUUACAUCUAUCCUGAUGGGAAAAGGCCCAUCUUUCAUCAACCGCAUCUCCAGGGAAUUUAUGCUUCUGAAGGAUGGUUUAUGAAGUUCAUGGAGGAAAACAGACAGUUUCUCACAAGGGAUCCAGAAAAGGCUCAUUUAUUUUAUCUUCCAUACAGUGCACGCCAGCUGGGGAUGGCACUUUAUGUGCCUAACUCACAUAAUUUGAGACCAUUGUCAAUCUUCAUGAGAGAUUAUGCAAAUAUGCUUGCUGCAAAGUAUCCCUUUUGGAACCGCACACAUGGGAGAGAUCAUUUUCUUGUUGCCUGCCAUGACUGGGGUCCAUACACAUUGACUAUGCACACUGAACUAACAAAAAAUACCAUAAAAGCUCUAUGCAAUGCUGAUGCAUCCGAAGGUAUUUUUGAUACUAGCAAGGAUGUUUCUCUACCUGAAACGACAAUAAAGACUCCUAGGAGACCUCUUAGAAAUGUUGGUGGUGGGAUAAGAGUAUCAGAGCGUCCAAUCCUUGCCUUCUUUGCUGGAAAUAUGCAUGGUAGGGUCCGCCCAAAGCUUCUAGAAUACUGGAAAAAUAAAGAUGAAGACCUGAGAAUUUAUGGGCCUCUACCCAUUAGAAUAUCUCGAAAGAUGAGUUAUGUUCAACACAUGAAAUCCAGUAGAUAUUGUAUAUGCCCAAUGGGCUAUGAAGUGAACAGCCCUCGGAUUGUUGAGGCCAUAUAUUACGAGUGUGUUCCAGUUAUCAUUGCAGAUAAUUUUGUCCUCCCUCUUAGUGAUGUGUUAGAUUGGAGUGCUUUCUCUGUUGUUGUGGCUGAGAAGGAUAUUCCCAAACUGAAAGAGAUUCUGUUGGCUAUCCCAUUGAGAAGAUAUCUUACAAUGCUAACUAAUUUAAAGAUGCUUCAGAAACAUUUUCUUUGGAACCCAAGACCCCUCAGAUAUGAUUUGUUCCACAUGAUUCUGCAUUCCAUCUGGCUUAGUAGGUUGAACCAGAUUCAAAUUCCAGAGUGGUAGUAAAGUCCUUAAAUUUACUAGCAAAACGUGGUUGAUUUUGGAUGAUGAGUUGAAAAGAGCUGAAGCUCGUAGCAGGCUAGUUGGAAUUUUGGACCUGAUACAACCAUCAUUUGUUUCCCUGGAGCUGGUUUGAUGUAUAGACAUUUAAGAAGGGAUAAUCCAUGAUGCAGGUAAGUUGUGAUUUAGUAUCUUUAUUAUCAUCUAGUUACAAUUAUAUGAAAUUUCUUUUGCUGAAUGGCCUGUGACAAUGAUACCUUCAACAUCUUCACUUGCAAUAAAUGGGACCUGGUGCUGCAAAAAAGUACCAAUGAUUGCUGCGAACUUUUCCAGUUUUGUUCAUAUUGUUGUAUUGUCACCAAUCAAAGGACCACGUUAAAUUUGUAGGGUUCCAUUCAUCCAGUGAUGACUCUUUCUAUUGUUGCAAAUCACAGCCACACCGUCUCUGCCUUCACGUUUAGAUUGAGAUUUUAUUUGUCUUCUUGAAUUAUUACAUACAUUUUCUAUUGCAGGGAAAGAGAAAGACAACAAUGUGGUCGACAUAACAACGUACUGCAUUAAAAAACGACUAAUCGACUACGGAAUUUUCCCUAUUUUCUAAAAUAUCUGUAUUAUCAUACUGCAUAUAGAGAGAUCCAAACUCCUGUUUUUCCCUGUUCUUUGGGCAAUGCCUGUCCAUUAAACUCGAGGCUCCCACCUAAGAUAGACUUUUAUUUUUGGUUUAAAAGUACUAGCAAGUUGAAAUGUAGAGACAAACCCUUGUCCUGAACAUAGAUGCGACCCUUUUCUUGUGUACUAUUAUUGCAUUAAAAGUCUUGAUUAACAUUAGGUGAUUAGCCUAAGUCAUCAGGAAAACAAGAAGACCGGUCAAAAACAACAGGUUGGCCUCCGGAUUGAACUCUGAAACAGCUCAAGUCAGCCACAGUUUCAAACUCAAAGUGCAUUGUUAUUGGGUCAUUAGACCGGAUAUCACUGGGUUAUUAUCUGAAGUUUA